CAAUAGCGUAUAUUAAAGUUGUUGCAGUUAAAAAGCUCGUAGUUGGAUUUGUGGCGUACGGUGUGUUCCGGGCACUUGUUGUCUGAGUAACCUGCUGUUGCCAUCCUUGGGUGGAACCUGUGUGGCAUUAGGUUGUCGUGCAGGGGAUGCCCAUCAUUUACUGUGAAAAAAUUAGAGUGUUCAAAGCAGGCUUAUGCCGUUGAAUAUAUUAGCAUGGAAUAAUGAGAUAGGACUUUUUUGCUAUUUUGUUGGUUUGCGCAAGAAGGUAAUGAUUAAUAGGGACAGUUGGGGGUAUUCGUAUUCCGUUGUCAGAGGUGAAAUUCUUGGAUUUUUGGAAGACGAACUACUGCGAAAGCAUUUACCAAGGAUGUUUUCAUUAA
rnacentral:rRNA from 1 species